UCUUCAUCCUCUUCUUCUUUCCCUCCUCUCUCUCCCUUUCUUUGUCAUUUUGUUUGGAGAUAAUCUGCCCCAGGAUGGCACACGGUGAACACAGGGCUGCCUUCCUACAAUAGAGCUUUAAGCCAACUUACCUCUGACAGCAGCAGCAUCCAGUCCCCCAAGGUGAAAAGAGAUGACAGAUUGGAGCUGUUCGGUUGAUGGAUGAGAUUCUUCUUCUCUUCCUUCUUUUUUUUUUUUAAUUUACUAAACAAAAUCUCAUCUUCCCCCACGCCUAAGGGAAAAAAAACCUGCCUUUCCCCCAUCACCCUUCAUGGGGAAAGAGGGAAUAUUCAUUUCAUCAAUUAUUUUUUUUUUAUUUUUAACUAACUAGCCAGCUCUUUACUUCAAAAGAGAAUAUUUAUUUUUGGGAUUUAAUAUAUCCAUCCUUAUACUGGAAAGAAAAUAACAAGCAGGGGCAACUUCUUAUCCGCUUCUCUGAGAGAGCUCGACGACCAUCUGUGGGACGAACGAAGAGCAGAAAUGAGAACUGGUCCCUGCCCAGCGACCAGGCACAGAGCGKGGAGGCCAGGCCGUUGGGUGCUGCGCGUGCCCCUGAUGCCAGCCGCGCUGCUCCUCCUCCUCGGCCCAGCCGGCUACAUCUCCGAGCCUGCUCUGUUGCCAUUCCCAGGUGAGCGUCUCCUCUUAGAGCUGCUUUUCUCUGGAAAGUUCUGUAGUUGAAAAAAUGCAU
rnacentral:lncRNA from 1 species